rnacentral:ncRNA from 14 species
AGGCUAUGAUGAAUCAUAGAGAUAGUCAUGCACCACUUUGAUUUCCUGUGCUGAUAACUUUCUUAUACCCAUUAUUUUUCAGAGCCU